rnacentral:lncRNA from 1 species
GUACCGGUACAAGCUCUGCGAAACAGAUAAACCCGAGGCUCGGUUUGCGCUCGGUUUAAGGGCCUGUAUCGGUACAAGGCCCCGUGUACCGGUACAAGGGCGCGACAGCAGCGGGUUAAGUUGCAAAAUCUGUUAAAAGGAGGGCUUUUUAGCAUUUUGUUACAAUAGAGGUUAUAUCCCUCUCACUCUCAGCUCUCUCCCCUCUCAC